AUACAACACCACAGCUAUUGAGGAUAAAAUUAAAUCGAUAA
rnacentral:misc_RNA from 1 species